rnacentral:misc_RNA from 1 species
GUGAAUCAUCGAAUUUUUGGACGCAAAUUGCACUCUCCUCGGAGAGUAUGCUUGUGUGAGGUUCAGCCUAGAAAAAUCGACAUCGUUGCUGGUUCGCGGUUGCGUUCAUGGUGAAUUGGUUGAUCUUAAAUCGUUUUGAUUUAAGCGACUUAAAAUUUUCGUUUGGUUCCAUGAACGUUUCGAAGAUCUAUUUCUUACACG